UAUUAAUCUAAAAUAAGAUUGGAGACUACGAGCAAUAGCUUAAAAACCCAAGGAUUUGGCGGUGUCUUAUUCAAUCAGGGGAACCUGCACCUGAAAUCGAUAGUCCACGUUAAACUUUACCUAAUUUUGAUUACUUAAGCUUGUGUACUGCCGUUUAAUAGGCUCUUAAGGCUCCCUAUAAGAAAUAUAAAAAUUACACGUCAGGUCAAAGUGCAGCUUAUAAUUAGGAGGAUGUGGGUUACAUUUCAAAAAGAUAGGGUACUUAUAAAAUAAUAAUUAUAAAACUAGGACUUGAUAGUAAUUAUAAAAAAUAUUAUAAUAUAAUGAAUAUGAACUUAAGACAAGC
rnacentral:rRNA from 1 species